rnacentral:misc_RNA from 1 species
CCCUGGUGCGCUGAUAAACAAGUCGAAACAAUCGAACUCUGAAGAAUCGUUUUUUAUUUUGUUAUUUGUUUCUGUUUCAGUUUCAGUGUUUCACAAUAAAUUUUUCACACAUCCCAAAAGGAGAUAAAUUAAAUGAUGGCGGAUUUUCUCCUUGCAUUUGCUAUGGAGGAGGUGCUGACUAGGGUGGGUUCACUUGCCGUACAAGGAUCACUCGUGCAUGGGGUUGCGACAGAGAGCUGAAAAGGCUAAGAGAGUCAUUGACUGUGAUUCGAGCUGCGUUGCAGGACGCAGAGGAAAGACGAGAGACAGAGAGGUCCAUUAGGCUUUGGCUGGAGAAGCUUAAAGAUGUGGUUUAUGAUGCUGAAGACGUGGUGGAUGAGUUUGGUUAUGAGCUUCUCCGGCGAAGGGUAGAGAUUCAAAACCAGAUGAAGGGUAAGGUAUGUAACUGCUUUUCGCUGUCAAACCCUUUUGCGUUCCAUCUCAAUAUGGCUCAAAAAGUUGAGAAGAUCAAUCAAUUGCUCGAUGAAAUUAAGAAUGAUGCAGCAGUCUUUGGACUUACUAGAGUUGCAUCAUCGGAUAGAAAUUCUCAGCUUAGCCUUAACCGAAAGACAGAUUCUUUCCUUGACAACUUCAAAGUUGUAGGGAGGGAAGAUGUGGUCUCUAAAAUUGUGAGCUUGCUGAUUAGCUCGAGCAAGAAUCAAGUUCUUUCUCUUGUACCCAUAGUGGGUAUGGCAGGUCUUGGAAAAACAACUUUGGCGAAGUUGGUUUCUAAGGUAGUGAAAGAGAGUAAACUUUUUAAUGUAAUUAUGUGGGUUUGUGUGUCUGAUAAUUUUGAUGAACGGAGGAUUUUAGGAGGAAUGUUGCAAACUCUUGAUGAAAAAACGGGCGGGAUAUAUCACAUUGAUGCUCUUCUACAGCAUCUUGAGAAAAGGUUGGAAGGGAAAAAAUUUCUUCUUGUGCUUGAUGAUGUGUGGAAUGAAGAAUCUAUGAAGUUUAAUAGUUUAAAAAGUCGUUUGGAAAAAAUUAGCAGAAACAAUGGGAAUGCUGUUCUUGUUACAACUCGUAGCAGGCAAGUAGCAUCUAUAAUGGAGACUUAUCCACUAUGUAGGCAUGAAUUGAAACAAUUGUCAAGUGAUGAAUGCUGGUCCAUUAUUAAAGACAGAGUGUUUGGAAAUGGUGCAUCAGUACCUUUGGACUUGGAACCAAUAGGACUGAAGAUUGCAAAAAAGUGUGGAGGUGUGCCAUUGGCAGCAACAGUUAUGGGUAGGACAAUGCAUUUUAAGAGCGAAAAGAACAAUGGCUGUUAAUUAAAAAUAGUAAUGUUUGGGAUGCAUUGGGAAGUAGUGAUGAAAUUUUACCAUUACUGAAACUGAGUUUUGAUCACUUGCCUCCCUCUUUGAAGUCAUGCUUUGCAUAUUGUUCUAUUUUUCCUAAAGAUUUUGAAAUUGAAAGAGAGAAAUAAUUCAACUUUGGAUGGCUGAAGGGUUUCUUCAGCCAUCUAAUGAAAGUACUGAAGUGAUGGAAGAUAUAGGGAAUAUGAGUAUUUUGAGUACUUGUUUGUCAUUUCUUUCUUUCAAGAUGCCAAAAGGGAUGAGUUUGAGAAUAUUAAAAGCUGUAAGAUGCAUGAUCUUGUACAUGAUCUUGCAUCAACUGUUUCAAAAACUGAGACAUUGACUUUGAAUGCUCCUACUCUUUCUGAUGAUGUAUCUCAUUUUCGUCGUCUGAAUGUCCAAUGUAAUUGGAAACCUGAAAUGUUAUUUCCAACUGGUGGUGCUAGAAAAUUGCGUACUUUAUUCUCAAUGGAUGAUGUCCUUUUGAAUUGGAAAUUGUGGAACUUCAAAAGCUUGCGAGCUUUGGACUUGCACCAGGCAUUUAUUGAAAAGCUGCCAGCUUCAAUCAGCAAGUUCAAGCAUUUGAGAUAUCUUGAUGUUUCAAGAACCACAAUUGAAUCAUUACCUGAAUCCAUCACAAAAUUGUACAACCUCCAAACAUUGAGGCUCAUUGAGUGCAAAUUGCUUCAAAAACUUCCCAAAAAAAUGAAUAAUUUGAUCAGUUUGCGGCAUGUUUAGUUUACUUACAAAUACCAGAUGCCAGCUCAAGUAGGGUGCUUAAUCCGGCUAAAGACACUGCCGCUGUUUGUCAUGGGGGCAGAAGGCCACAACAAAAUUCAAGAAUUGGAAUGCUUGAAUGAGCUAAGACGGAAAUUGUUGAUAAGCAAUCUGGAGCAGGUGAGAGACAAAAAGGAGGCAGUGAAAGCAAAAUUGCAGUCAAAAACAAAAAUAUAUGCAUUGGUAUUUGUAUGGAGCUCAGAAAGAGACAGCAGCAAAAAUGAUGAAGAUGUGCUGGAGGGCCUCCUCCCUCCCCAAAGCAUAAAGAGCUUGAAGAUUGUGAACUAUGUGGGUGAAAAAUUCCCAUCAUGGAUGUUGAUGAAUAUUCCUGACCAUGGUAACUCCUUGAUACUCAACAAUUUGGUGAAGCUGAAAUUGGAAGGCUGCAGGAAGUGUGAGCAACUCAUGAGGCUUGGACAUCUUCCUUGUCUUGAAAUUCUGGAGAUAGAUGCAAUGAGUAAUGUAAGUUUUAUCGGCAAUGAGUUUUACGGAAAUGAGGGAGGAUACCAGAACAGCGGAUGGUGGGAAACAAUGCAACUGUUUCCAUCAUUAAAAGAAUUCUACCUAUGUUCUAUGGAAAGUCUAGUUGAAUGGCUGGCACCAGCUGUAGGUGGAGGCAGUACAUUCGUAUUUCCUCCCCUCAAUGUGUUGAUCAUUUAUGGUUGUCCCCAGUUGAGAAGCAUUCCAAUAAGAUGUCAUUCGUCACUUGUAAAACUGGAAAUCAGUUUUUGUGAUGAAUUGGAUUAUUUGUCUGACUUCCUUGGCUUUACACUUCUUGAAGAUUUAACAAUACAAUGCUGUAAAAAUCUGGUGGCCAUUCCAAGUGUGCAGUUCCUUGCCUCUCUUAAAAGAUUAAGCAUUAAUUGCUGUGAUAGAUUAAAAUUGCUUCCAACUGGACUACAUUCUUGCUCAUAUCUGGAGUAUUUGUCAAUAACUGGCUACAAAGAACUGACCUAUGUUCCUGAUGGUCUACAAGAAUUGCCCUCUCUUGUUUAUUUAGGAAUAAAAUGGUGUCCCAAAUUGACUUGUUCUGCAUAGGACAAGAUACAUAUCUUGUGCUGCCUCAUUCAAUUGUAGCAAUUGCAGACAUGACAUCUCUUAAGCUUACUCACUCGAUUGCAGUAAUUGAAGAUUUCUCCAAGGAGUUGGAGGCUUUCCCAGAUCCUCAUUCACUCCAACUUAUCCAUGCAUCACUCAUUAAUGGGUAGGAUAAGUUCAAGUCUAUUCCUGAUCACCUUCAACACCCUAUUGCCCUUAAUUUAUUGUAGAUAUUUAAUUUCCAGUGGAGCAAAAGCUUUGCCACAGUGGUUGGGCAACUUCUUAUCUCCCAAAUUACUUGAUAUUGACUGAAAACUAAGUUCUUGUUGAGGAAAGUCACAAACAAGAUGGCCCAGAAUGGUCCAUGCAUCUGUGUGAGUUGUCAGUACAAUCAGAGGUAGUUUUAAAUUUCUUCAAUCCCAGCUCUUCUUCUUUCCUCUGCCCAUUUCCCCCGAACUGAUUUUUUUUUUAAACAGAUGUAUUUAAUUACCUUGUUUUUACUAGGUUUUAGGUGAGAGGUUGUUAACUAGAUGAAAAUAUGGAAACUUGAACUGAUGUAUUUCAAUUCAUCUUAUGUACACAUGCUCUCUAUCCUAGUACAUGAUUAUGUGUCUUUUGGUCUAUUGACCAAAAAAGUAGGUGGUAGAUAGCAUUCCAAGUUCUUUCUCAUUUCCUUCUGAAAAAUUCACUGACUGCAUAAAUCUUUGAUCUCUAUUCCUUUUCUGUUCAAGCACAAAUGCUCAAGUGGUAGAAGUUUAUGACUUCAUCACAGAUGGGCAAUGCAUGCCUCGCUUUUUUUGUUCGCCUUUUCACAUCUGCUUCACUACUUACCUAUCCCUACCCCUUUUUUUGCUUCACUUGGGAGAGUACUCGACAGGCUUUCCAAAUAGCGUCGAACUUUCAGAGGGACAUGUACAUUCCAAGCAUGCAUUCCUUGUAAGAUUGAAAAGUGAAGAGCCCUGCGAUUGUUGUGCUUCAGCUCUACCAGUGGUACACAUAUGUUAGACUAGAUUAUAAACCCUUUUUUCAAUCCCUUGUAUAGUUCCAGAUGAAAGGAAGUGGCUCAACUUGUUAAACUCAAGUUUUAAAGUUUGUGGUUGUGCAGAUUUUCUGAAGCAUCAUUCAUACCAAAAUUG